UAUAAGUCUUAUCUGCCCAGUGAUUAUUUUAACGGCCGCAGUACCUUGACUGUGCUAAGGUAGCAUAAUAAAUUGACCUUUAAUUGAGGCCUGGAAUAAACGAAUAUACGGAUAAAAGCUGUCUCUUGAGUAAUAACACUUAAGUUACUUAUGAGGUGAAAAUUCCUCUUUGAAUUUAAUAGACGAGAAGACCCUGGGAGUUUUCCUAAUUUUGCUGGGGCGGCAUUUUUACACUAUAAACUAAAAAAAAUAAUAAAUCGAAUAUUGCUAGUUUAAAUUAAGCUACCCCAGGGAUAACAGCAUUAUCUAAAAAGGUUUGUGACCUCGAUGUUGGAUUAGGAACUUUUCAUAUUAACCAUAUUUAAAGUUAGUUCUGUUCGAACAUUAUUACCUACAUGAUCUGAGUUCAAACCGGAGCUCCA
rnacentral:rRNA from 1 species